AGGGCUGUGUGUUCCGGAAGGCUGAUACCAUGGAGGACAUCACCUUGGCUUCCUGGCUGUCUGGUUAGUGAUUUGAGCAAUGAGAGGCAGCAGCUAGAAAUGAAAGAGUAGAAGAAGAGAGUGUCUCCUGACACUGUGCACGGUCUCCACUCAGCCUCUGAUUCCUGUGAGUCAGCUGCAUCCAGAUUUCCACCCCCUCCCCCGUCCCGAGAAGGCUGCAUUUGACCCACUAAGAACUCCUGAGAAAAAUCUCUUCAGAGGAAUUUUGGCCAAAUCUUCUCUCCCUCUCCUACAGCCACUUUCCUCCUGAAUUUCUUACUUUUCCGGGGCCUGAUUGGUUCAGCACCAAGUGAAGUCAUAGUUACUAUAGUGACUCACAAUUGUCCUCAGAACCUAGUGCCAACAGUCUGCAAGAUUCAAACACUGGCCACCAUCCCUGGCUUCCUUCUGGUUCAAGCCUGAAUAAGGUCUCUCUUCUGUGCUGUCUUCCUGAAGCCAUCUGUGGAGUCAAGCAGUCAUGGCUCAGGGACACUCUGGAGUAGGUCCCAGCACAUCUGCACGGAGCAUCAGGAGGAAAGUGGAUGAAUACUUAAGACCCAGCCUGGCCUCUAAAUCCGUGCUGAGCGUUUUACUCAGUAGACAGCUUGGAAAUCAUAGAAACGAUGUGGAUCUGACAGAAUGGCUGUGGACACUGACGCAAGCCAUACCAGGGAGGACCUGGCCUUUGCCAACACGCCACACAAUCAACCCACCUCUGCCCCCUGGGGAGGAUGGAAAAUCCAAGAAAAUGGAGUGGAUCAAUAAAUCCUUCCCCUGAUGCAACCAUUA